GACGAACGCUGGCGGCGUGCUUAACACAUGCAAGUCGAACGAUGAAGCCUAGCUUGCUAGGUGGAUUAGUGGCGAACGGGUGAGUAAUACGUGAGUAACCUACCUUUAACUCUGGGAUAAGCCCGGGAAACUGGGUCUAAUACCGGAUACGACCAAUCUCCGCAUGGGGUGUUGGUGGAAAGCGUUAUGUAGUGGUUAUAGAUGGGCUCACGGCCUAUCAGCUUGUUGGUGAGGUACGGCUCACCAAGGCGACGACGGGUAGCCGGCCUGAGAGGGUGACCGGCCACACUGGGACUGAGACACGGCCCAGACUCCUACGGGAGGCAGCAGUGGGGAAUAUUGCACAAUGGGCGCAAGCCUGAUGCAGCGACGCCGCGUGAGGGAUGACGGCCUUCGGGUUGUAAACCUCUGUUAGCAGGGAAGAAGAGAGAUUGACGGUACCUGCAGAGAAAGCGCCGGCUAACUACGUG
rnacentral:rRNA from 1 species